GUACUGAUGAAGAGUCCCAGGCUAGGACGAAACAGCUGCCCAGUAC
rfam:Trichobilharzia regenti genome assembly, scaffold: TRE_scaffold0004080